GUACAGGUCUUUUGUACAGGUCUUUUGCAGCUGAAAGCUGUGAACAAGAGUGUUGUUGCCCAGCUAUGCCCAGUCUUUCAAAUGCAACCCUUUCUGGAGUGUGAAGCCUUAGUGAAGGCAACUCACACCUAUAUCACCUUGAGACUGAAUGGCUGCAACAUGAUAUACACAAGGCUGCAAAUAAGGGAUUUGCAGAACUUGAAGCUUUUGAAGACCCUUUCACCUGUAUCUGCAUCACUGCUUGAUCCAUAUCUUCAAAGCAUAUGAUCUUCAUCGGUUUAA